AUCUGAGGGUAAUCUAGUCAUUUCAAUUACUUAGUUAAUAUUGUUCCCCGCGGUGGCUUUUGUUUUUGCAGCCAAUACAUCUUCAUUUCUUACUCAGUCUAUUAUUCCUUUGUUUGUUUUCCGUCUCUUCAGUUUCUCAAAGAUAUACUCCAAUUCAUUUUGUUCUUGAUGCUCUUUAAAUUUAAUAUGAAACUUGGGGUUAGAUAGUAAGGCAUGAGGAAGAAGAGUGCAAGUCAGGAAGGAGAGACUAUUUAAAGCUCUUCACUGAAAACAAAGAUAGUAAGGCAUAAGGGAGAAGAGUGCAAGUCAGGAAGGAGAGACUAUUUAAAGCUCUUCAUCGGAAACAAAGAUAGUAAGGCAUGAGGGAGAAGAGUGCAAGUCAGGAAGGAGAGACUAUUUAAAGCUCUUCACCGGAAAUAAAGGUAAACUUUCUCUCUUUCCUUUCUUUCCGUCUCAAGUGUUUGUUUUCCUCUAUAUUUAGUCAGGACUAUGCAACAGGCUUAUUUGGGUUUCUGAUUAUGGAAUGCAUGUAUCUCUGUUGAUUAUGGUUAGAAUCUUUUGGUUGACUGUGUUAGCCAAUUUCAUCUAAAACAACAGGUCAGUAUAGUUUAAAUAUCCAAAUUCUAAUUUCAAAAUUCGAUGUAGUUCCAUAAUCUUUAGAGAAUAGAGGAUGGAUUCUGUACUUAGAUUUGGUGGCAAUUUCCAAAUAUAGAAGGGCUUGCCUGAAACUGUUGAAGAAGUGUAUCAGUGAGAAGUUUAGCAAAAGAUCCAGGAGAGUAACGUUUGCUAGUCAUAAAAUGUAGGCUUAAGAUAGUUGUUGGUGUAGUCAUUGCUGCCUUUGGAGACGAAAAAUAGCGACCUUGAUAGGUCACUUGAGAACUCAAUUUGCGGUAAAAAAUUAAUUCGCUCAGAUAGAUGCACGCACUUCCCCUGUAAACACAAAUUAAAAGCUAGCCCAUGGUUAAUAUAAUGGCUAUAAUUCAAAUUGGCAUUUUGUGUGUCUACUAUAGCAAGUAAGACCCAAAAGUACUUCGUCAAAGUUUCUAAUUCUAUAUUGACUGUCACUCUGCCAGUCACAAUUAGAAGACAAUUUACAUGUAAUAGGUAAUAAAAAGUAAAUAAUUAAUCUAAAGAAUAAGGAUUGCCUGUUAAAAAUACGUUACCUUCUUUGUCAAAAGUAUAAUUUGUAUGAGUGUAAGUUAUAUGCUUUGACAAUGUAUAAUUCUUGAUAGCAUACAAUUAUAAAUACAAAUAUGUAUUUAUUACCAUCAGAAUAGUAUAUUAACUGUUGGUAUUUAAUGUAUGAACGAAUAGGUGCAAAGCCAACAUACUUACAACAACUACUAGCGGAUAAAAUAUAGUACCUAAUUAGUUUACCCUAUUAUGAAGUAAAUAUAUCAAAAAUAUACUUAUGAAUAAUGUCAUUUACCCGACAGGAUCAACAAGAGAGUAAUUACCACAAAGCAAAGUUCGUAUAGAACAUUUUACUAGGAGCGAUAACGAUUAUAUUUUUGCGGGAGAAGUUGGAGACUUAUGUGCAUUGAUAUAGACUUUCUUUCACUUAAAAUGUUACAUCUAUUAAAAUUUUAAUUAUCUAUAAGCUGGAUUAGUAGAAUAGUCUUACUGAAUGUUCACUUUUGUAACCAUGGAUUUUUGUCCUAAGUACAAUAUGCCAGGAACAUUAGCAACAUAAUUGCACAAAAUGAAUUUUCUGAUCCAUAUUCUUGUGUAAUAUUCUUAAAACUUUGCUGCAUUUUUGUCUUUUGAUGGGAAUGACUGGCAUAUUAAUAUGUUGCACACAUUAGACACAUCAAAUUUUGGAGUCAAAAUAAUAGUCACUGCACUUUCUAAUUAAAAAAUUUGUACGAGAAUAUUAUCUGAAAGAGUUCAUGUUGAGUCCAAGUCAUAAGAUUCAUUAGGAUAUAAAUGUUUUGCUGAGUCCAAGUCAUAAGGUUCAAUAGAUAUAAGUGUUUCCGUAUCUACGCAUAUUUUCCUUUUUUUAGAGAUGGGGAAUCAGAAUUCGAAGUAAGAGAAACAACUUUUAUUUAUUGUGCCUGGAUACACCUUUUAAUGUACAAUCUUACACAACGAUAAACCAUAAGUGGUAUUGUAGGUGUCACGCACCUUGUGCUGAAUAUAUAAUAUUUGUCCUUGGAUAUACCAUUGAUGUGACGACCCGG